rnacentral:misc_RNA from 1 species
GGUCGUACAUUACUGGCCCUAAUAAGUGAGAGAGAGAGGUACGAUGUAGAGUAGAAGAAAAAAGAGAACGUGGGGGGAAAUACAGUACGUCUAUCAUGGUGUACCCUUUAAGUUCUUUCUCUCUUGUCUCUCUUCGUUCGUUCUUCUUUCUUUCUCUUAUGAUAUCAUGAUUACCGUGCAUUGACGGCAGGGCGGAGUGGAAUGCGCCGAUUUCUAUUAUGGCGCAGAAGUCUGUCGUGGUCUUAGGAUGAUCGUGGAUUUGACAGCGUAAAAUAGAUAACGGAGUGAUAAAAUCAAACGGUCAAUACCGAUGUGCGCGAGGUGGAUAUAAUAUAUCCACCUUGGAUGUGCGUUAACGAAAAAAAUAUACAGGUAUUCUGAGAUUAACUCACUACCUACUCGUAUAAAAGUUUGCGUUUAGGUAUUUUUAUUAAAUAUCUAACAUGAAAUGGAUAUGUGGGUCGAUGAGACAAAUUUUUUUUGUCUUAUACUCUGAAGAGCCGUCCGCAAUGGCCGUUUAAGUACUAAUUAAGCAGCAGAACUUCAUCGGUAACACAAAAGAAAUUCUGUCGAAAAAGAGCUAAUCUCAGAUGGGCCUGCUUUAAAUGGAUCAGUUGUAGCCAAAGCAGUUUUUGAAUCAGCUGUUGAAAAUGUGAAAAGCGAACUAAUCUCUACUUUAAAAAUGAAUCAAGAAGCUCUCAAUAUAAUUUUUCUUUAUUUUUAUCAAAAGAAAUCAAAAAGCCUUAAACCCAGAACUCAGAACAACAAAUUAAAAUAGUUUCAGAAAACAUCAAAAUCAAAGUUCAAAAAUAUAUGAAAAAAUAUAAACCUUUUGGCUUUUGCAAAUAUUAUAAAGCAAUUAAUAAAAAAAAAUCAGGACGUUCACCCGAAACAUUGCGACUCGUACGAGAUAUUUAGAAUCGUGUGUUCUACGUGCCAAUAAUAAUGAAAACCAUAGAUCCUCUGUUUCUUUACACAUCUUUAUUAAUAUCA